rnacentral:rRNA from 1 species
UGGGGAAUAUUGGGCAAUGGAGGAAACUCUGACCCAGCGACGCCGCGUGCGGGAUGAAGGCCUUCGGGUUGUAAACCGCUUUCAGUAGGGAAGAAGCGAAAGUGACGGUACCUACAAAAGAAGCACCGGCUAACUAUGUGCCAGCAGCCGCGGUAAUACAUAGGGUGCAAGCGUUGUCCGGAAUUAUUGGGCGUAAAGCGUGCGCAGGCGGUUAUAUAAGACAGAUGUGAAAUCCCCGGGCUCAACCUGGGAACUGCGUUUGUGACUGUAUAACUUGAGUGUGGCAGAGGGGGGUGGAAUUCCCAGUGUAGAGGUGAAAUUCGUAAAUAUUGGGAAGAACACCGGUGGCGAAGGCGGCUCACUGGACCGACACUGACGCUGAGGCGCGAAAGCGUGGGGAGCAAACAGG